AAGUAUAAGCAAUUAUACAGCGAAACUGCGAAUGGCUCAUUAUAUAAGUUAUCGUUUAUUUGAUAGCACCUUACUACUUGGAUAACCGUGGUAAUUCUAGAGCUAAUACAUGCUAAAAAUCCCGACUCACGAAGGGAUGUAUUUAUUAGAUUAAAAACCAAUGCCCUUCGGGGCUUUCUGGUGAUUCAUGAUAACUUCUCGAAUCGCAUGGCCUUGCGCNGGCGAUGGUUCAUUCAAAUUUCUUCCCUAUCAACUUUCGAUGCGAAGGUUUUGUCUUCGCAUGGUUACAACGGGUAACGGAGGGUUAGGGCUCGACCCCGGAGAGGGAGCCUGAGAAAUGGCUACCACUUUUAAGGAAGGCAGCAGGCGCGCAAAUUACCCAAUCCCGACACGGGGAGGUAGUGACAAUAAAUNCUGAUACAGGGCUCUUAUGGGUCUUGUAAUCGGAAUGAGUACAAUUUAAAUCCCUUAACGAGGAACAAUUGGAGGGCAAGCUCGGUGCCAGCAGCCGCGGUAAUUCCAGCUCCAAUAGCGUAUAUUAAAGUUGUUGUGGUUAAAAAGCUCGUAGUUGAACCUUGGGCCUGGCUGGCCGGUCCCCCUCACCGGGUGCACUGGUCCGGCCGGGUCUUUCCCUCUGUCGAACCGCAUGCCCUUCACUGGGUGUGUCGGGGAAACAGGACUUUUACUUUGAAAAAAUUAGAGUGCUCCAGGCAGGCCUAUGCUCGAAUAGUACAGCAUGGAAUAAUAGAAUAGGACGUGUGGUUCUAUUUUGUUGGUUUCUAGGACCGCCGUAAUGAUUAAUAGGGACAGUCGGGGGCAUCAGUAUUCAGCUGUCAGAGGUGAAAUUCUUGGAUCUGCUGAAGACUAACUACUGCGAAAGCAUUUGCCAAGGAUGUUUUCAUUGAUAAGGAACGAAAGUUAGGGGAUCGAAGACGAUCAGAUACCGUCGUAGUCUUAACCAUAAACUAUGCCGACUAGGGAUCGGACGAUGUUAUUUUUUGACGCGUUCGGCACCUUUCG
rnacentral:rRNA from 1 species